UACGUAGGGGGCAAGCGUUGUCCGGAAUCAUUGGGCGUAAAGCGCGUGUAGGCGGCUCGAUAAGUCUGCUGUGAAAGUUCAGGGCUCAACCCUGAAAUGCCGGUGGAAACUGUCGAGCUAGAGUGCGGAAGAGGUGAGUGGAAUUCCUGGUGUAGCGGUGAAAUGCGCAGAUAUCAGGAGGAACACCAAUGGCGAAGGCAGCUCACUGGGACGUUACUGACGCUGAGACGCGAAAGCGUGGGGAGCAAACAGG
rnacentral:rRNA from 1 species